rnacentral:rRNA from 1 species
UACGGAGGGUGCAAGCGUUAUCCGGAUUCACUGGGUUUAAAGGGUGCGUAGGUGGAUUAGUAAGUCAGUGGUGAAAUCUCCGGGCUUAACUCGGAAACUGCCAUUGAUACUAUCUGUCUUGAAUACCGUGGAGGUCAGCGGAAUAUGUCAUGUAGCGGUGAAAUGCUUAGAUAUGACAUAGAACACCAAUUGCGAAGGCAGCUGGCUACACGAAUAUUGACACUGAUGCACGAAAGCGUGGGGAUCAAACAGG